ACACAUGGCAAAGGUUUCAAGCAUUCGUAUUGUUGCGGUUAUGGCAGCACUUACUUUCGUUUUGUCUAUAUUACCAGAUGGUAUACUUUGCGACGAUCCAGAACCUAUACGUCUCCAUUUCGGGUCUCCUAAAUUAAAGCUUCCUAAAAAGCCUCCUGUUAAUAAUGGAGGUCCGCAGACCGAUGUCUCACCAAAAAAACCUUCUUUUCGAGACACAGUAACUACUGUAUCUGGUGUAGUCACGAGAGUUAUGAAUGCUGCGGGUGCCUAAGUAAAGAUCCAUGGUGAAACGGUUGCUUGGCCACUUAGGCAGUGCGAAAUAAUGCUUGCUACAACGGUGCACUCCUAAACUGCGGAAUGGACAAUAAAAAUUUCACCUUUCACCCAUGA